UCAAAAGUGAAUUGUCCGGUAAAUCCUGUUGAUCGAGUCUAUGUUGAAUACUAAAAUCUCGGCAAAUAUCCAUGUAUUUUGGUUGCCUUCCCUUAUACCUUGCGUAGCUUUUCUCCAUCGUAUAAUCUCUCUAUCUCUCCACAAUAUUUCCCAUCCUGUUCUUAUUUUUUGCACUGAAUUUCAUUUUUUCAAGUCCUGAAAGCAAAAACUUUUUUUACUGAUGUUUGUAUUUGGUUUGUUUGGUCACAUGUAUGAUAAAGAGGCAAGAAAUUGGUACAAUGGAUCGAGGCCAAGCAUUGAUAAGUAGAAGACGAAACUGUUAAUCUGUUAAGCAAUAAAGAAAAGUAAUUGAUGUUGUAGAUAUGGUGUUGUUUGGGGUUCGUGUUGAAGGAAAGCGAAAACAAAAGGAGGGUUGUACGGUGUUUGAAACUAUAAUUUUCUCCCCUUAUCUAUUUGUCUUUUCCGAUUUAAGUUUUCUUAUUAUUUCUGGUCUUCGGUAUUUUGCUAUUGUGUUUUCCGAUUUAGCUUUAAUUAUUUUUGUUUUUAUGUUUUUUACUUGCAAAUUUAGAUACUUAUGACAAUACAAUUAUGCAGGUGUGAUUUACCAAGAACAUGGUCAAUUUAAUAAACUGUGUGAGGUGUUGCGCAAAUGGAAGUAUUGCUGGAACAAAAGCACAUUCAUAAUGAAGUUUCUUUUAGCUUUGGAUUUAAUAUGAUUAUUUGACCUACUCUACAUUUUUAUUAAAUGUAAUGCAAUGCCUUUUUUUAUAUUUAAGGAAGUGGCUUUUCUCUAAUCAUACAUAAUCCAAAGUUUACCCCAAGUUGUGUGAUUAAUCUUUUGGUUUAAAGCUUCAGGCUCAAUUGAAAUAAACCCCCUAUGUUUUAUCCUUAUGUAAUAAUCAAAUUUUGAUAAAGAUCUUCCAUGUUUGGUUGAAGAUUUUGACAAGAGAUUCAUUAUGUUCUGGUGGUUAGGAGGGCUAACUUCAAAUUUAUGGUUUUU